CUUGCAACCUUUAGGGGAGGCAGCACGACAGUAAACAAAGCUUGCCGUUUGCAAGUCGGCCAAUCGGUCGGCAACACAAUCGAAUUGACGGGGACCUCCUAAAGCCUGUAACACCAACCGUCCGGGGAAACUCGGGCGGGGCCCUCACGGGGUGGUAAGAGAGUACAGGAUGUAACAAUGGACAAUCCGCAGCGAAGACCCUACCGGCUCCGGCCCACGGGUACCGUUCACAGACUAAGUGAUUGUGGGCGGGCGAUCGUGCCCUGUCUAAGAUAUAGUCGGACUCUACCCGAAAGGAUAGAGGAUAGCAUGUCCGUAGGUGAACCUGCGGAAGGAUCAUUAAAGAAUGCCCCGUUUUUUGAAAUGGGUUCUAUUCCCAAACCGUGUAUACAUACCUUUGUUGCUUUGGCAGGCCGCCUUCGGGCGUCGGCUCACGCUGACCGCGCCUGCCAGAGGACCCAAACUCGAUUGUUUAGUGAUGUCUGAGUACUAUAUAAUAGUUAAAACUUUCAACAACGGAUCUCUUGGUUCUGGCAUCGAUGAAGAACGCAGCGAAAUGCGAUAAGUAAUGUGAAUUGCAGAAUUCAGUGAAUCAUCGAAUCUUUGAACGCACAUUGCGCCCCUUGGUAUUCCGAGGGGCAUGCCUGUUCGAGCGUCAUUAUGACCACUCAAGCCUAGCUUGGUAUUGGGGUUCGCGGUCUCGCGGCCCUUAAAAUCAGUGGCGGUGCCAUCUGGCUCUAAGCGUAGUAAUUCAUCUCGCUAUUGGGUCCGGUGGUUGCUUGCCAACAACCCCCAACUUCUAAGGUUGACCUCGGAUCAGGUAGGGAUACCCGCUGAACUUAAGCAUAUCAAUAAGCGGAGGA
rnacentral:rRNA from 1 species